rnacentral:rRNA from 1 species
GAGUGCACCUCCAAUGCACUGCCGGGGACCAGCACAAGUAGCUGAGCAUGUGGUUUAAUGCGAAUAAACGCGAAGAACCUUCCCUAAGCUUGACAUCACAAUGACCUCUCCUUAUUCGCAGAGUUCCCUUCGGGGACUUUGGUGACAGGUGGUGCAUGAUCGUCGUCAGCUCGUGUCAUGAGAUGUUUGGUUAAGUCCCGCAACGAG